AAUAGGAAGUUCUGCUGCGGCUGUCGCGCACCACGCGUAUGCCGAGAUGAACGCCUCCAUUCGAUGGCUUUCUUGGGCCGGUCAGUCCGUGGCGAGGAAUCCCACGGGCUCUGGCUCCAAAUGCCGCGCUAAUUGAUCAGGCCGGAAACGGAGCAGUCAAGCGC
rnacentral:SRP_RNA from 1 species